rnacentral:hammerhead_ribozyme from 1 species
AUCCAGCUGACGAGUCCCAAAUAGGACGAAAUGUGAUUCCUGGAU